UGGGGAAUCUUAGACAAUGGGCGCAAGCCUGAUCUAGCCUGCCGCGUGAGUGAUGAAGGCCUUAGGGUCGUAAAGCUCUUUCGCCAGGGAUGAUAAUGACAGUACCUGGUAAAGAAACCCCGGCUAACUCCGUGCCAGCAGCCGCGGUAAUA
rnacentral:rRNA from 1 species